CCCGCAGCGCGCCUUUCCGCCUAUCGGGCGCGCUCUGAACAUUGAUGAAUCGCGCUCGCAUUUUGCGCCCUACGCGACGUCUGCACCGAUCCCAUAAUGACGUGUUCGUUGAACACGAUGGUCUCCUCGCUUCCACCGACAAAGUCUAUCGAGAAAGCGAUGCUAUGAAUUCUAUCCACCCCACCAUGAGCCCUCCAGGGUCUCAUGAAAUUGGUCAUGGUCUGCAGAGAGACCACCUGUUUUGCAUUCAAGAAUAGCCGCUGUGCGAAGCCGGACGGGA
rnacentral:misc_RNA from 1 species